GACGAACCGUGCGAACGUUGUUCGGAUUCACUGGGCUUAAAGGGCGCGUAGGCGGGUGCCUCCGUCCGGAGUGAAAGCCCCCGGCUCAACCGGGGAAGCGCUUCGGAUACCGGGCACCUCGAGGGGGGUAGGGGCACGCGGAACUUCCGGUGGAGCGGUGAAAUGCGUAGAGAUCGGAAGGAACGCCGGCGGCGAAAGCGGCGUGCUGGGCCCCCCUCGA
rnacentral:rRNA from 1 species